ensembl:snoRNA
ACCCUCCGGUUCCCUUUCCCAUCGGAUCUGAACACUGGUCUUGGUGGUCGUAAAGGAGGAACAGUGAUGCUGAAACUGGCCUCACAGCCGUAUAGACUGGUACACAGCAUGUGGGCUAGUUUCAAACAGGG